rnacentral:lncRNA from 1 species
AUGGGAAGCACGUGGUGCCAUUUAAGUGGGUUUUAUGGCCUGGAAGAGCUGACAAACCUUCGAUAUAUACACAUCAUAUAUAAUCUUAACUGUCCGGAAUCGCAGCUGCUGGCUGCUCCUUAUCUGGGGAAGAAAGGGCUUUGUGGCACUGAGGAUGCACAACCUUCCUCCGGACUGCGGAGCUGCAGCGGAGCACCGGGAGCUCUAGUCGAUCUUCUGGUGAGAAUGCAUGGAAACAUGGGGGCUUCUCUACCCCCCAGUAAGUGUUCUCCAUCAUCCUACCUGGCUUGAAUGGAGAGAUGUGACACUUCAGUGAGUUUGCUGUUUUAGCCGGAAGCUGACUAUAGAGGCACUGAAGCCUGGACCCAGAAUCAAUUAAAUAACUUCCACUUUUAAAGAAAAUGAACAUCAUCAUUUUAGUUCAUUUAUAUCGUUAUCAAAAUAUUUUGCAGGCUUAAACCACAUUAAUGUGUGAGUGGUGCUACUCAUAUAUCUGAGCUGCUUAACCUCACCAUCGUUAACACCAACCUGGUCUUUGUGUGGCAGCAGGUUUGCUAAAACCGACUCAUCCCUUGCUGCUGCUUCAGGCUAUUCAUUCCCAAAUAGUCUCCAGUCUGUCGACACUUCAUUAAUAUGUUUUUUUUUCUUUAUUUUUUUUUUUAGAAAUUUCAACCGGACGAUAUCCACCUUAACUUUAUUACACCUGGGGAGAUUAAACGUGAAACGGCUAUUAGGUUAACGCUUUGAUUAAACGUGCGCCGCAGCAGUUUCCAGCGGGGAGCAGAAGUUAUUGCUCCACUGUCUGCAUCUGGGCCAUGAGCUACUGUUUUGUGUCCACCUAAUUAAAAACGGCCACAGACGGACCGACGGGCACCCGCAUAGUUCUGCGCAGAUUUACUCUGUUUACACCCCAAUGCGUGAACAGGCACGUACAGCUGUUGCAGAGAAGGGGGGGAGGAGGGUUAAACAAUAUCUCAAAUGAACAAAUGAAACAUCAAAUUAGUCCACCUAAGGGCCUCAUUUUUUGUACUUCUACAUUAUAACUAGUUAUUGAACUAGGUGCACGAUCUGAAAGCCAUUUGUGUGGAGAAGGAAUCCAUUGCUGCCUCUCCAUCAAUAAUCCUUGGCAGUGAACUAUUGGAACCAGUCAAACGCGAGGGGUGAAACGCGGGUCAGCCUGUCUAACUAAUAUUAAAAUGCGUCCUCCAGCGCGCACAGAGAGAGGGGAGUGUUUAAAGCUGCGAGCAACCUACGCAGGUUCGGUGCACAAAAGCAGCGUGUGUAAAAGAACAUAUGCAAAAACAUCGUGUUAUUUAUACAAACGUGACUCUGCUUAUUGUAUCAUUUCAUUUGACGCCAAGGACGCAGUGAGAAAUGCGACUAAGAUUUUAUUUUAUUUUAUUUUGCCAGCAUUUGGUGUUUCUUGUGCACAUCUGCAGAGUAAUCAAUUCCAUUGAUUCAGAAUCUGAGCGUGUUUGGUGUUUUUAAUAACCCACGGAACAGGUCACACGUUUGAUACGGCAUUUUUCAUCCCAGGCUUUUCUCAUUAGCUUCCAGAGUGGCAGGAAGAAAGGUUACCGGGCGGUCAGUAUGGUAAUAGCAGGCAGGAGAAAUGGCUGGGAACAAAAGAAACUUAUUUUUCAUCAGCGCUGUCAUGCCGUCCCUUUGUAUCCUCCGUGUUUGUGACUGAAUAUUCAUACAGAAGCUGCCCCCAAAAUGAGCAUGUGUGUGUGUGUGUGAGUGUGCAAGGAAUGAUAUUGAAAUUUCUCUCAAGUGAACAUAUGUUACUCACAGCACAGCGAAAGUGUGUGUGUUUUUAAAGCAAUCGGACAGAUUUAUUUUUUGUACGUAUUGGUUCCGACGCUAGACUCAGAGGUUUCUAACCUAAAACACGUUAGUUGUCUAUAUGUACCCUGUAGAACCGAAUUUGUGUGAGUUCCAGACAGUCGCAAGUACGUCUCUACAGGAAUACAUGGGCAACUGCAAAACCACAGCAGCCACUGGAGGUUCCUGCUCCUGCUUCUCUGCACGCUUUUCCUCCUUUUUCACUCUGAGCAUCUGUGGUUUACACGCAGUCCACAUCCCGGCGCUGUAGCAACAAUAACGCUGUCACAAAUUGUAUUCAUGGUCCAGACAGCCGGGGCUUGUGGAGGUAGGCCUCCAAGAGCAGAGCCAUGUGUGCAGUGCGUGGCUACUACUGUUGCAGACCCUAUAAAACACGUUAGGAACCAGGGGUCGUUUGAGAGUGACUGAUUUACAGCUUUUAUUGCUCUAUAAAACGCCUCUAACAUCCUUGCUUGUGGUUAUUGAAAUGUCGUGCGAGUUCUGCACAAACAGGCCAGUAAGCAAAAACAUUUCAUGUCAUUUUAAAAAAAUACCUCGUGCAAUUAUUGUUGCGAGAAUUGUUACACCUUCCAAUCUGGUGACCUUGUUUGACUUCUAAUUCCAAAUCUUUCCCCAAAUGGAAUUAAAGAGGUUUCUUUUUGUGUGUGUGAAGCUUUACCGUAGAAUUUUAUGCACAUGAGAUUUUGGCGGUUGCGAACCUGCAGCUGUCCUCACCUCAAACGGAGAAGGGAUUUUAAGCUGGAUGUGGAGAAGCUGCGAACACAUUAGCACCCACCCCCGCAGCCCUGUCUUUCUCCCUGAACCAAAGCUGAGUGAGGGAGAGGAACUGGAAGCAAACAACACAUGACAAGUUUAUACAGCCAGACAGGAUCAGUUUACAGUGAGACAGCAGAGCUCCAGGAAUGUGGCAGAUGGUCACCGCUGCAGCCACGUUCAGAGGCAGAAAUAUUGUGAUCUUUGACCAUUGUUUUGGCUUCAGUGCGCACUGUCGACGCUAAAUACCAUAAAUAUCCAUUUCUUUUCAGUUUAAUCUCAGUCACUUUUUGCAUUUGUCAUUCACCUUUGGCCCCUUUGAAAACAAAUUUACUGGUGGUCGCAGGCUGGAGAGGUCUGCAAGAUAAACAUUAUGACAGUGACACAAAUAUAAAAACAGUGUUAUCAUACAUGAAAAUCAUCCCGCUCUGUAGUCUAAUACAAAAGAGAGCAGCUGCUCCUGGCUGGGACCACAUGCAGCCCAGCAGCCUGCACUCCUCUGCAGUAGAAACAGCAGAUUGUCACGUUCCAGUUUGUGGCAUCGUCAUAUUUUCAUCCACUUUUCUAUCACCGCACACCAGCUUAAACAGUGACAUCAUGCCGCCGGUGCUGUGCCUUCACGUCAACGACAUACUUGUUAGUCUGUGAUUCCUUUUGGUCUUUUAACUGUUGACAUUCCAAUGAACCUUUUUUUAAAAACAAAUAAAAUGGCAGACAUUUUGCUGGUGAAACUGAGGUAAUGAUCGGUGUUAACAGUGAUCCUGAUCGGUUAUUUCCCAUUCAGGUGCUGCUCCUUUGCAUAUUGGCUGCCUGCUUAGGCCCUUCUGCACUAAAUGGAAUGGAACCUUAGUUAAUUUCAUUAAUUAAAACCCUGUUAAGCUCCUCUUUCCAAGAGGUCUUCUUUAGAAGCUUUAUAGGAAAGUGCUCUUGUUCCCUGAUUUGUUCGUCUGUUUUAUCUACUUUUAAUAUACUUAUACUGGUUAUCAUACAAUUUUAUUCAUGUUACAAUUCAAUUUUUUUUUCUUCAUCUGUUCUUAUACCUGCCCAAGUGUCCAUUUAAAAGUAUCAACAAUGGUAUUGUUACAGAUUAAACACAUGAAGGCAUUUUGUGUGGUAUUUUCAAAUCUGUUCCUUCUGUUCCUUUUCUUUGCAAAAUAACAUUAAAGCUUCAGGAAGGACAGAAAAAUAUUUUUACUGGAUUUUGGCAUUAAAAACAUUUGAAUGUACGUCUUACAAGAAAUAAAAAGGAUGGACACUGGAUGUGACAAAUACGUCCAGUCACUAAAUGAAUGCGUUUCCAUACUGCUCCUGUCCUGCUUUUUCUCCAAUAAUAUCAAAGAUCAGGCCAAUUCUAAAACAUCCCCUCCAGAUCACCUCAGCACUCUGAUCAGCUCUGACAUUUAGGCUGAAUGUUAGCAUAUUUAGCAUUAAACUACCACAGAAGUAGCUUUUUAAAAAUACGUCAGAAAGUGAUUCGGGUGUAAUUUUGUGUUGUAAUGACUUUAGAGCUGCUGUGCUGUGCUUUCAUUAAUUAGCAGAUAACCUUUAUGAAAGGCAAACAGGCUAAAAAAUGACUGCUUUUCUAUUGUUGUGCCUUAUCCUUUGUGAAUCGCCUUUUGUCCCUUUGAAUAAUUGGAAGCAGAGGACUUGCCUGUUUUAUUUUUUUUACUUGGUCAGCAAUACCUACUAGUUUUGUCCUCAAGAUCAAUUGCUUUGGUAACGCAACCAGAGAGGAUGAGAGAGGAGAGAGAAGGGUAGAGAGAGGAUGCGAGAUACAGGGGGAGAGAGAGAUUUGUGCCCACAAUGGCGACUGUAGGUAUGCUAAAUACCUCUGGUUCCUUAUCCGGGAACUACCUCUAAGCCCGCCAUUGGCCCAUUGUGUCACGUGGUAAAAGUAACUUUACAGGGCUGCUCGCAAGUAGGAGGGCUUUAUGGAGCAGAAAAACGACAAAGCUAGAAAAAUU